rnacentral:rRNA from 1 species
UUACUGUCUCCUCUUUCUAAUCAGUGAAACUGAUCUUCCCGUGAAGAAGCGGGAAUAAUUUUAUAAGACGAGAAGACCCCAUGGAGCUUUAAGCUAGCUGCACAUCUAUUUUCUAUAUCCUCUAAUUAAACAGAACAAUGCCUGCUUAGCUUUAGGUUGGGGUGACCGCGGAGUAUAACAUAACCUCCACGAUGCACAAGACUUCUCUUAUCUACGAAUUACAGUUCUAAGAAUUAGCAUUCUAACAUAAAAUGAUCCGAUAAUCGAUCAACGGACCAAGUUACCCUGGGGAUAACAGCGCAAUCCAUUUCAAGAGCCCCUAUCGACAAAU